rnacentral:rRNA from 1 species
GACGAACGCUGGCGGCGUGCUUAACACAUGCAAGUCGAGCGGUAAGGCCCUUUCGGGGGUACACGAGCGGCGAACGGGUGAGUAACACGUGGGUGACCUGCCCUCAGCUCUGGGAUAAGCCCGGGAAACUGGGUCUAAUACUGGAUAUGACUCCAUGACGCAUGUUGUGGGGUGGAAAGCCUUGUGCGGCUGAGGAUGGGCCCGCGGCCUAUCAGCUUGUUGUGGGGNGAUGGCCUACCAAGGCGACGACGGGUAGCCGGCCUGAGAGGGCGACCGGCCACACUGGGACUGAGACACGGCCCAGACUCCUACGGGAGGCAGCAGUGGGGAAUCUUGCGCAAUGGGCGAAAGCCUGACGCAGCGACGCCGCGUGAGGGAUGACGGCCU